AGUGAACGCUGGCGGUAGGCCUAACACAUGCAAGUCGAACGGCAGCACAGGAGAGCUUGCUCUCUGGGUGGCGAGUGGCGGACGGGUGAGGAAUACAUCGGAAUCUACUCUGUCGUGGGGGAUAACGUAGGGAAACUUACGCUAAUACCGCAUACGACCUACGGGUGAAAGCAGGGGACCUUCGGGCCUUGCGCGAUUGAAUGAGCCGAUGUCGGAUUAGCUAGUUGGCGGGGUAAAGGCCCACCAAGGCGACGAUCCGUAGCUGGUCUGAGAGGAUGAUCAGCCACACGGGAACUGAGACAAGGUCCAGACUCAUACGGGAGGCAGCAGUGGGGAAUAUUGGACAAUGGGCGCAAGCAUGAUCCAGCCAUACCGCGUGGGUGAAGAAGGCCUUCGGGUUGUAAAGCCCUUUUGUUGGGAAAGAAAUCCAGCUGGCUAAUACCCGGUUGGGAUGACGGUACCCAAAGAAUAAGCACCGGCUAACUUCGUGCCAGCCGCCGCAGUAA
rnacentral:rRNA from 1 species